rnacentral:rRNA from 1 species
GAUGAACGCUGGCGGCGUGCCUAAUACAUGCAAGUCGAGCGAACAGACGAGGAGCUUGCUCCUCUGACGUUAGCGGCGGACGGGUGAGUAACACGUGGAUAACCUACCUAUAAGACUGGGAUAACUUCGGGAAACCGGCGCUAAUACCGGAUAAUAUAUUGAACCGCAUGGUUCAAUAGUGAAAGACGGUUUUGCUGUCACUUAUAGAUGGAUCCGCGCCGCAUUAGCUAGUUGGUAAGGUAACGGCUUACCAAGGCAACGAUGCGUAGCCGACCUGAGAGGGUGAUCGGCCACCCUGGAACUGAGACACGGUCCAGACUCCUACGGGAGGCAGCAGUAGGGAAUCUUCCGCAAUGGGCGAAAGCCUGACGGAGCAACGCCGCGUGAGUGAUGAAGGUCUUCGGAUCGUAAAACUCUGUUAUUAGGGAAGAACAAAUGUGUAAGUAACUAUGCACGUCUUGACGGUACCUAAUCAGAAAGCCACGGCUAACUACGUG